AGGGCGCAGGGCGAAUGCCUUGGCACUGGGAGCCGAUGAAAGACGUGAUAAGCUGCGAUAAGCUUCGGGGAGCUGCAAAUAAGCAUUGAUCCGGAGAUUUCUGAAUGAGGAAACUCACCUGGGUUCAUACUCAGGUACGAUCUACUGAACUUCAAAAUAGGUAGAUCGAGGGAACCGCCUGAACUGAAACAUCUAAGUAGGGCGAGGAAGAGACAUCAAACGAGAUUCCGUAAGUAGUGGCGAGCGAACGCGGAAGAGGGCAAACCGGGAGUCGAAAGACUUCCGGGGUAGACUGCAUUUUAAGACUUGAGUUGUUAACUGAACGGCAUGGGAAGGCCGGUCAGAGAGUGUGAGAACCACGUAGGUGAAAACGACGAAAGCUGAGCAAGUUCCAGAGUACGGCCAGACACGUGAAACCUGGUCGGAAGAUGGGGGGACCACCCUCCAACCCUAAAUACUACCCAGUGACCGAUAGCGUAUAGUACUGUGAAGGAAAGGUGAAAAGCACCCCGGGAGGGGAGUGAAAAAGAACCUGAAACCCUGUGCCUACAAGCACCUAGAGCACGUCAAAGUGUGAUAGGGUACUUUUUGUAGAACGGUCCGGCGAGCGAUUGUAUGCAGCAAGGUUAAGGUCUUCAGGACUGGAGCCGAAGCGAAAGCGAGUUUGAAAAGGGCGUUAAGUUGCAUACAAUGGGCCCGAAACCGGGUGACCUACCCAUGGUCAGGUUGAAGUGGAAGUAAAAUUCCAUGGAGGACCGAACCGACCUCCGUUGAAAAGGCGGCGGAUGAACUGUGGGUAGCGGAGAAAUUCCAAUCGAACCCGGAGAUAGCUGGUUCUCCCCGAAAUAGUUUUAGGACUAGCCUCAGGUUAGAUAUCUGGAGGUAAAGCACUGAAUAGCCUAGCGGCCGAGAGGUUAGCGAAGCUUAUCAAACUCAGAAUGCCAGAAUAUUGAUGCCUGGGAGUCAGACAGUGUCAGAUAAAUGUCAUUGUCAAAAGGGAAACAGCCCAGAUCUACAGCUAAGGUCCCAAAGUCAGGUUAAGUGGAAAACGAUGUGAAGAUACGCAGACAACCAGGAUGUUGGCUCAGAAGCAGCCACUCAUUCAAAGAGUGCGUAAUAGCUCACUGGUCGAGCGUCUUUGCGCGGAGAAUUUAACGGGGCUAAACCUGGCACCGAAGCUUAGGCAAUCCAGCAAUGGAUUGGGUAGGGGAGCGUUGUAUACACGGCGAAACAGUAGCGCAAGCGGCUGUGGAGUGUAUAGAAGUGAGAAUGCCGGAAUGAGUAGCGCGAAUGCAGUGAGAAUCUGCAUGGCCGAAAGCCUCUAGGUUUUUGGAGGAAGGUUCGUCCGCUCCAAGUUAGUCGGGAGCUAAGGUGAGGCCGAAAGGCGUAGCCGAUGCACAGACGGUAGAGAUUCCGUCACCACCAAAAGAGUUAAGCACAGGGACACAUAAGAAGUCUCAGAGCCGGGUGUUGGUUCCGGUAGAGAUCGAGGGAAAAUAGUACCGAAGUCUGGGAUGGAAGAUGGCGAGAAAAGCUGUGUGGAUUUCUGAGGUGCCCGUACCGCAAACCGACACAGGUAGGUAGGAAGAAGAUUCUAAGGCCAACGGGAGAAGGGUUGUUAAGGAACUCGGCAAAUUGACCCCGUAAUUCGGGAGAAGGGGGUGCUCCAGAGAUGGAGCCGCAGAGAAUCGGCCCAAGCAACUGUUUACCAAAAACACAGGUUUGUGCUAAAUCGAAAGAUGACGUAUACGAGCUGACGCCUGCCCGGUGCUGGAAGGUUAAGAGGAGAUGUGCAAGCAUUGAAUCGAAGCCCCAGUGAACGGCGGCCGUAACUAUAACGGUCCUAAGGUAGCGAAAAUUCCUUGUCAGGUAAGUUCUGACCCGCAUGAAAGGCGUAAUGAUUUGGGCACUGUCUCAACAGCCCGCCCGGCGAAAUUGUAGUACCGGUGAAGAUGCCGGUUACCCGCGACAAGACGGAAAGACCCCAUGGAGCUUUACUGUAGCCUAAUAUUGGGUUUCGAUGUUGCAUGCACAGGAUAGAUGGGGACUCUGGGGAAGUGAUCGCUUU
rnacentral:rRNA from 1 species